GCGUUUGUGGUUUAGCGGUAGAAUGUCUCGUCGGCAUCGAGGGGACCCGGGUAUGAUUCCCCGCAGACCCA
rfam:Gregarina niphandrodes unplaced genomic scaffold scaffold00237, whole genome shotgun sequence.